rnacentral:siRNA from 1 species
UGGAUUGCCGACUACUGUUUUGCC